GACGAACGCUGGCGGCGUGCUUAACACAUGCAAGUCGAACGGAAAGGCCCUGCGCUUGUGGCUUUCUCGAGUGGCGAACGGGGGUGUGACACGUGAGUAACCUGCCCCUGUCUUUGGGAUAAAUUCAGGGAACUGGGGCUAAUACCGCAUAGGAGCUCCUGCUGCGUGGGGGGGGUUGGAAAGUUUCGGCGGUUGGGGCUGGACUCGCGGGUUAUCAGCUUGUUUGUGGGGUAGUUGCUUACCAAGCCUUUGACGGGUAGCCGGCAUGAGAGGGUGACCGGCCACAUGGGGACUGAGAUACGGCGCAGACUCCUAUGGUACGCAGUAGUGGGGAAUAUUGCAGAAUGGGCGGAAGUCUGAUGUAGAAACCCCGCGUGCGGGAUGACGGCCUUUGGGUGGUAAACCGCUGUCGCCUGUGACGAAGCGUGAGUGACGGUAAUGGGUAAAGAAGCAACGGCUAACUACGUG
rnacentral:rRNA from 1 species